rnacentral:rRNA from 1 species
AGGGCGAACGCUGGCGGCGUGCUUAACACAUGCAAGUCGAGCGGAAAGGCCCUUCGGGGUACUCGAGCGGCGAACGGGUGAGUAACACGUGAGCAACCUGCCCUUAGCUUCGGGAUAGCUCCGGGAAACCGGAAUUAAAUACCGAAUAUGACUGCGGCUGACAUCAGCCACAGUGGAAAGUUUUUCGGCUAGGGAUGGACUCGCGGCCUAUCAGCUAGUUGGUGAGGUAACGGCCACCAAGGCGACGACGGGUA